UCACAUGGGGUGGUUCAGUUAAAACCCGAACAGUAACGUGGAAACUGAGGCUCUUUACCGGCACGGUCCUACUCCUCCUUGUUCGAAUUGGAACUUCUGAGAUGCGUCGAAAGAGUGUGGGAGAUCCAACUGCUUAGAUUCAUGUGAACUGAAACUGUGUGAAGCCGUUUGCUUUGGAAACUGAAGCCUUCCCCAUGUUUCGUGUUUCUUUUCUUUUCUCUGACCACAACAACACUACCACUUCACUUUCUU